AGCGAACGCUGGCGGUAGGCCUAACACAUGCAAGUCGAACGGCAGCACAGUAAGAGCUUGCUCUUACGGGUGGCGAGUGGCAGACGGGUGAGGAAUACAUCGGAAUCUACUUUUUCGUGGGGGAUAACGUAGGGAAACUUACGCUAAUACCGCAUACGACCUACGGGUGAAAGCAGGGGAUCUUCGGACCUUGCGCGAUUGAAUGAGCCGAUGUCGGAUUAGCUAGUUGGCGGGGUAAAGGCCCACCAAGGCGACGAUCCGUAGCUGGUCUGAGAGGAUGAUCAGCCACAAUGGAACUGAGACACGGUCCAGACUCCUACGGGAGGCAGCAGUGGGGAAUAUUGGACAAUGGGCGCAAGCCUGAUCCAGCCAUACCGCGUGGGUGAAGAAGGCCUUCGGGUUGUAGAGCCCUUUUGUUGGGAAAGAAAAGCAGCAGGUUAAUACCCCGCUGUUCUGACGGUACCCAAAUAAUAAGCACCGGCUAACUUCGUG
rnacentral:rRNA from 1 species